CUUUCUUUCUCUCUUUCUCUCUUUCUCUCUUUCUUUCUUCCUCUGUCUUUUUAGGGCCGCAGCCACAGCAUAUGAAAUUCCCAGCCUAGGGGUCGAAACGGAGCUGUAGCCUCAGGCCUAUGUCACAGCCACAGCAACACAGGAUUCAAGCCACAUCUGCAACCUACACCUACCAAGCGAGGCCAGGGAUCGAACCUACAUCCUCUUGGGUACUAGUCGGGUUCGUUAUCACUGAGCCACAACGGAACUCCCUAAGUUGACUGUAUUUUCUUUCUCUUUUUACAGCCGUACCUGCGGCAUAUGGAAGUUCCUGGGAUAGGGGUGGAAUCGGAGCUGCAGCUGCAACCUAUGCCACAGCCACAGUCAUGCCAGAUUCUUAACCCACUGAGUGAGGCCAGGGAUCCAACCCACAUCCUCACUACCUGGAUUCUUAACCCGAAGAGCCACAGUGGGAACUCCUUAGACUGACUUAUGACCAACUUAUUCAUCAACUCACUUAUGAUCUUAAAAGAGCUCAGUUGAUACCUAAUGGAAUCUACCUGAUCCAUGAAAUGUAUUAUUUCAUAUAAGUACAAGCAGCAACCAGCAGGCAGAACCUGCCACCAUCACGGGAGGGCCACCUGCUUUAUUCCCCACCCACAUGCUCCUGGAACAGGUACGGGGGGAGGAGUCCAGGAUCCCAGCACUCCCGAUUACAACGGGGUUCUCGGGGACCCUGGGAGCCAUGUGACGGUCUGAAGGCAAACCUUUUGACAUCAAGACGAGAGCGUAAUUUGCCCUCCUCAAAUUCGGGCUCACAGAGGCGAUGCUGAAUGAAGCACCUCCAGGGCCCACGUGACAAGUCCAGUUGUCCUGAAGACCGAAGAAGGAGGGAGGCCCAGGGAACCCCCGCGGCUCUGCCAUCAAGGGGUUUUGUCUUUUCCGAUGUGGAGUGAGGGGCUCUAGGGAUGACUCAGCCCAGCCGCCAUCUGAGUCAACGGCACUGGGACCCCAAGUGAGAGUGGCCUGGCCCAGCCCACCCACCCCCAGGACCAAGAGAGGUGAUAAUAGCUCAUGAUUUUACUACGUCUGGUGGUGUGUGGGGGGGCGCCGUUGUGAAGACAGAGUAGCUGGAAGGAUGCCCAAGCCUCCCCGGCUGUGGGACCCCGGGCAGAGGGCUUCCCUCCUUCUGCUCAUCUGAAAUGAGAGGGUUGAGGACCAGGAACACCCUUCUAAAAAACAAGAGAAAAAAAAAAAACAGGAGUUCCCAUCGUGGCGCAUGGUUAACGAAUCCGACUAGGAACCAUGAGGACGCAGGUACAACCCCUGGCCUUGCUCAGUGGGUUAAGGAUCCAGUAUUGCCAUGAGCUGUGGUGUAGGCCGCAGACGUGGCUUGGAUCCCGCAUUGCUGUGGCUGUGGUGUAGGCCAGCAGCUACAGUUCCAAUUAGACCCCAUAGCCUGGGCACCUCCAUAUGCCGCAGGAGCGGGAACCAAAGGAGAGGAAAAAAGGGAUAAUUGACAUCCACCAGCGCUGCAGAGAAGCCAGGACGACCGAGGGCAGAAAACCAGCUGUGGGAUUUGGUUAUGAGUUCUCAGCGACUCCUAGAAUGAGAAGGUUCUAUGAAUGGAUGAGGAGGCAGAGGCCCAACUUCUAUGGCCAAGGAAAAGAUGGGAAGGGGAGGGGAGAGAAGAAAACAGGAGCAAGAAAGGUUUGAGAGAAUCUUUAAAGUGAGACCAACAGCACACAUGUGAGUAGAGGGGAGAGACCAAUAUGGCAGAGCUGGAGAAGUGAGAACGGCGAGUAAUUCAGAAUCAUCGAUAUGGGUGAUGGCUGAAGCCCGUCCACGGGCGACGUGGCCCAUGGAGAGACUAGCGAGAAGACAGAGGACCAGGACCCUGAGUUUAAAAGGAACUGGAGCAAGAGCUUCCUCUCCAGUCUCCAUCCUCCGCAUCUAACUCCAAUCCUAAGGCUGGAAUCCAGCCACAUUUGCUUCUAGAGGGGGGCACCCCUAUGAUUAAGGCACAUGGAACGUCUUCCAGUUCUUUGCAACACCGAGGUCCUGUAAGUGGUGAACCAGUAAAUAAAAGGCAGGUCCUUGAGAACCCAGAGGGACAAACAUGGGCUCCUUAACCUGUUCCUUUGAUAGUCUGAAGCUCUGAGCCAUGUCCAAUCAGCCAAUCAGAAACAGAGUCUUUUCUCUUAAUAGAAUACUGGAUAACAUCAACCAGAUGUACCCAACAGAAAUGUGGGUCAUGCAAAAUGCAAGUAAUGAUAACCAAACAAACAGCUAAAAAAAAGUCAGGACUCAACAAAAUGUCUGUACAAAUGAGUUUUUAAGAUACUUUCAUUAAAGUAUAAUUAACAUACAAUAAAAUGUUCGGCUCUUAAUCUGUUGGAUGAGUCUCAACAGCUAUUUAUGUCCAUGUCAUCACAGCCCCAAAGAGAGUCAGUACAUCUGUCACCCAGAAACUUCCCUGCUCUUUCUGGUCCCUUCUCCUCGCUGGCCUCACGAAAUCGCUUGACCACCAGAGACCGGCUUCCUGAUGCACUUCUUUUGCUUUCUAGACCCAUCCAUAGGGUUGUAUCAGGAGUUCAUUCCUUUUAUUGCUCGGUGGUAUUCCACGAUAAUAACAAUUUAUUUGCCCAUUUUUUUCAAACGAUUUCGGCUGUUUCCAGCUUGGGGCCUUACAGAAACUUGCCUAUGCAAGCCCUUUCAUGCAUCUGUGCGUCCUUCUCUCCAAGGUGGAUACUUGGAGUGGAGAAACUGGCUCUCAGUGUAGGUGUUCGAUUUCAUAAAAAGUGCCAAACAGGGAGUUCCCAUCGUGGCGCAGUGGUUAACAAAUCCAACUAGGAACCAUGAGGUUGCGGGUUCGAUCCCUGCCCUUGCUCAGUGGGUUAAGGAUCCGGCGUUGCCGUGAGC
rnacentral:lncRNA from 1 species